rnacentral:rRNA from 1 species
GACGAACCGAGCGAACGUUGUUCGGAAUAACUGGGCUUAAAGGGCGCGUAGGCGGGCCGCCAAGUUCGAGGUGAAAUCCUCCGGCUCAACCGGAGAACUGCCUCGAAUACUGGAGGCCUCGAGGCGGGUAGGGGCAUGCGGGACUGUGGGUGGAGCGGUGAAAUGCGUUGAUAUCCACAGGAACUCCGGUGGCGAAGGCGGCAUGCUGGACCCGAUCUGACGCUGAGGCGCGAAAGCCAGGGGAGCAAACGGG